CAGACUCCCAAGCACCUGCCCAUCCCACUCCAUAGCCCAGCCACCCACUCAUCUACCAUAUGCCCAUCCCAGUAAGCAAGCCAACCACUAGAAUUUGACUGGCAUGCACCUGUGACUUACAUAAACCAGACCUCUACAUAGCCUACAUGUCUUCAUUUUGCUGAAGACUGCCCAUCAUCCUAGCCUGUUAUCUGUGAUAAAGCACACUGAAGUUAGGUAUGGAAUGCAUCCUUAUCAUGAAUGCUCUACACCUCCAUCUCCAUCUCCUAC